GAUCAUGGCUCAGGAUGAACGCUAGCUACAGGCUUAACACAUGCAAGUCGAGGGGCAUCGGGAAGAAAGCUUGCUUUCUUUGCUGGCGACCGGCGCACGGGUGAGUAACACGUAUCCAACCUGCCCUUUACUCGGGGAUAGCCUUUCGAAAGAAAGAUUAAUACCCGAUGGGAUAAUUAUUCCGCAUGGUUUGAUUAUUAAAGGAUUCCGGUAAAGGAUGGGNUGCGUCUCUAGUUGUUGGUUG
rnacentral:rRNA from 1 species